CGGUAACAGCUCAAAUUUGAAAUCUGGCUCUUUUAGGGUCCGAGUUGUAAUUUGUAGAGGAUACUUUUGAUGCGGUGCCUUCCGAGUUCCCUGGAACGGGACGCCAUAGAGGGUGAGAGCCCCGUCUGGUUGGAUGCCAAAUCUCUGUAAAGUUCCUUCAAC
rnacentral:rRNA from 1 species